GUACGUGUAGCUCAGUGGUAGAGCGCUUGCCUAGCAUGCAAGACGACAAAGUCUUGGGUUUUAUCCUCAGCAUUGUGCA
rnacentral:tRNA from 1 species